GGAAGCAGGGAGCAGCUGUGCCUGGAUGGGUGAGGGUAGAGGACUGCACAGGUCAGGGAGCUUGUUCUGGCUCCUGCCAGGGGAGUCGGCCAUGCAGUGUGUGAAAGGUCUCCUGGUUCCUGGGAGUGUUGGCUGUGAUGACAUCAUCCUAGAAGUCACUGACUGGAUUGGCAAUGGGGCUGAUGCUCACUGAGUGCCUGGCACGCUAUGUGCUGGGCACUGGGCUACACAACGGACACUGAAUACUUCCCAUGGACAAC
rnacentral:lncRNA from 1 species